CUUUUCAAACCUAACUUAAUGCUCCUAAAAAUGGAGGCAGAGUAAAUGAAAUGAACAAACUACUGGAUCUCAACUCAGAUCAGGUGAAAAUCCUAAACCAGAAGCUGCCAGCCAGGACAUUUCUCAGGGCACCCCACCUUAGGUACUUAAACAGCA